rnacentral:rRNA from 1 species
UACAGAGGGUGCGAGCGUUGUUCGGAAUUAUUGGGCGUAAAGGGUGCGUAGGCGGUUUGGUAAGUCUGAUGUGAAAUCUAUGGGCUCAACUCAUAGUCUGCAUCGGAAACUGCCGGGCUUGAGUAUGGGAGAGGUGAGUGGAAUUCCUGGUGUAGCGGUGAAAUGCGUAGAUAUCAGGAGGAACACCUGUGGCGAAAGCGGCUCACUGGACCAUAACUGACGCUGAUGCACGAAAGCUAGGGGAGCAAACAGG